AGCGAGAUAGUGUAAUUGGUAACACUACAGCCUCAUGAGCUGUCAUUUAAGAUUCGAGUUCUUAUUUCGCUA